AGAGUUUGAUCAUGGCUCAGAACGAACGCUGGCGGCAGGCCUAACACAUGCAAGUCGAACGCCGUAGCAAUACGGAGUGGCAGACGGGUGAGUAACGCGUGGGAACCUUCCCUAUGGUUCGGAAUAGCUCAGGGAAACCUGGGGUAAUACCGGAUAAGCCCUUCGGGGGAAAGAUUUAUCGCCAUUGGAUGGGCCCGCGUAGGAUUAGCUAGUUGGUGAGGUAAUGGCUCACCAAGGCGACGAUCCUUAGCUGGUCUGAGAGGAUGAUCAGCCACACUGGGACUGAGACACGGCCCAGACUCCUACGGGAGGCAGCAGUGGGGAAUAUUGGACAAUGGGCGAAAGCCUGAUCCAGCCAUGCCGCGUGAGUGAUGAAGGCCUUAGGGUUGUAAAGCUCUUUCGGCGGGGACGAUAAUGACGGUACCCGCAGAAGAAGCCCCGGCUAACUUCGUGCCAGCCGCCGCGGUAAUAC
rnacentral:rRNA from 1 species